rnacentral:lncRNA from 1 species
UGAUGUCCAUAUUUAUAGAGUACAAUGUGAUGUGUACACACACAUACACAUAUUCACAUUGUGUAAUGGGUGUUUGAGUGCCAUACAAGCACUCCCAACAAAGAGAACAUUACUCUGAGCCAAGAUAUAGCGACAAGGUUAAGAUUUAAAAGAAUCAUUUUCCAAAUAUGAAGAAGCUUUAGAAAUGCCCUAGCCACCUUGUUUUCCUUAUCUUCGUCUUCUUGUGUAUGUACAAAAAUAAUAUAUAAUAAAAUAUCUGGGUGUUUUGUGGGUUUUUGGUUUUUUUUGUUUUUGGUUUGGUUUUGAUACCAGGAAUUGGACCCAGGAGCACUUAACUACUGAGCCACAUCCCUAGCCCUUUUUUUCUAUUUUAUUUAGAGACAGUAUCUCACUAAGUUGCUUUGGGCCUCACUAAGGCUUGCUUUGAUCUCACGAUCUUCCUGCUUCAGCUUCCUGAGACACUGGAAAUACAGGCAUGCACCAUCACACCUGGCCAAAAUAUCUGUUUUAAGCUGGAAAGAAAUCUUUAUUAAUAAGUGUAAAAAAAUUCUAAUAAUUAGAUCAUUGUACCACAGUCUAAUUGACAGCUGCUUCUUUCUUACAUAAAAGAAUUUUCUUACAUAAAAGAAUUGUAAAUUAUGAUCACUGGCAUCUUAGAUUUGAUGAAAUAUGAUUUUAGUACCUAUAUGACAUUAUUUUAUUGUACUCUUUGUCAUUUAAUCUCUCUGUUGUGACCUGCUGUAUUCAGCAGAUAAAUGAUUCCUUGUGAUUAUGUCUGAUGGGGCUGUUGCUCAACCAGUUCUAAGCACACUGGAAAUUUUAGAUAUUAAAAAGGAACUUCUUAGAUACUAGAGUGUGUGAAUAUGUUUUUAGAAACUCUAGCAAAGUGUCCAUUAUAAAAAUAAAAUUACCUGAUAAUUUUUAAAAUAAAAUUAAUUUCCUUUUUGACAGAUGAAAGAGGCCAUUCCCAUAUUAACCUCUGCUGUUAAAUGAGUAGCUUGU